UGCCUUUGUGUUGCCCUUUCAAUGUAUUGGUCAUGAAUGGGGUGUCAACCAAGGCAUACAGUGACUCUCGUAGAUGUGGCAGAAAUUCAUCUUCUUUGAUUUAUUUCUACACAGUAAACUGCGAGCACAAAU